rnacentral:lncRNA from 1 species
AUUACUAAUUUUGUGAUGCUCUUUCAAGCUAUGAUGAAAUUUUUGUCUAGACUUGUUGAGUUCAAAAUUUGGGUUAAUUGGGGAAUGGUCCAUUAUUGGAACAAGCAAAUCAAGCUCUUUUAUUUGCAACCUGGGGCCGGUUGUAUAAAACUCUUAAUCACUUUUCUAAUCACUAUUUUGUAGUUAAAUAGUGAUUUACUCUCAAAUAGGCGAUUCUUAUUGGAUGACGUUUCCACUUAACUAUAGUGAACUUUAAUCACUUUUUUAUACAACCAGCCCCUGAUACAAAACUACUACAUAUAAUGAAAAGACUUAAUAUUAUUUUCUCACUGACAACUGUAUGUUGACCAAUCAUCUGCUGCACGGUAGUGCUUAUAGGACUUAUAGUGAAACCUACUAUUUUAGAUUACUUAUGAACUCACAGAUCCGGCAAGCGUAUUUACGAAGCAAGAUCUUCCUGGAUUUCAUUAAAGGCAUUUGUCAAUUUUUUUAUCCUCAUUUCCAGGGAUUUCUUGCUCGAUGCUGCCUCUUGCAAAAUUUGUCUCAUUUCAUCUUCAACCUCGUUGAUCU